rnacentral:rRNA from 1 species
UGCAAGUCGAGCGGACAGAUGGGAGCUUGCUCCCUGAUGUUAGCGGCGGACGGGUGAGUAACACGUGGGUAACCUGCCUGUAAGACUGGGAUAACUCCGGGAAACCGGGGCUAAUACCGGAUGCUUGUUUGAACCGCAUGGUUCAAACAUAAAAGGUGGCUUCGGCUACCACUUACAGAUGGACCCGCGGCGCAUUAGCUAGUUGGUGAGGUAACGGCUCACCAAGGCAACGAUGCGUAGCCGACCUGAGAGGGUGAUCGGCCACACUGGGACUGAAGACACGGCCCAGACUCCUACGGGAGGCAGCAGUAGGGAAUCUUCCGCAAUGGACGAAAGUCUGACGGAGCAACGCCGCGUGAGUGAUGAAGGUUUUCGGAUCGUAAAGCUCUGUUGUUAGGGAAGAACAAGUACCGUUCGAAUAGGGCGGUACCUUGACGGUACCUAACCAGAAAGCCACGGCUAACUACGUGCCAGCAGCCGCGGUAAUACGUAGGUGGCAAGCGUUGUCCGGAAUUAUUGGGCGUAAAGGGCUCGCAGGCGGUUUCUUAAGUCUGAUGUGAAAGCCCCCGGCUCAACCGGGGAGGGUCAUUGGAAACUGGGGAACUUGAGUGCAGAAGAGGAGAGUGGAAUUCCACGUGUAGCGGUGAAAUGCGUAGAGAUGUGGAGGAACACCAGUGGCGAAGGCGACUCUCUGGUCUGUAACUGACGCUGAGGAGCGAAAGCGUGGGGAGCGAACAGGAUUAGAUACCCUGGUAGUCCACGCCGUAAACGAUGAGUGCUAAGUGUUAGGGGGUUUCCGCCCCUUAGUGCUGCAGCUAACGCAUUAAGCACUCCGCCUGGGGAGUACGGUCGCAAGACUGAAACUCAAAGGAAUUGACGGGGGCCCGCACAAGCGGUGGAGCAUGUGGUUUAAUUCGAAGCAACGCGAAGAACCUUACCAGGUCUUGACAUCYUCUGACAAUCCUAGAGAUAGGACGUCCCCUUCGGGGGCAGAGUGACAGGUGGUGCAUGGUUGUCGUCAGCUCGUGUCGUGAGAUGUUGGGUUAAGUCCCGCAACGAGCGCAACCCUUGAUCUUAGUUGCCAGCAUUCAGUUGGGCACUCUAAGGUGACUGCCGGUGACAAACCGGAGGAAGGUGGGGAUGACGUCAAAUCAUCAUGCCCCUUAUGACCUGGGCUACACACGUGCUACAAUGGACAGAACAAAGGGCAGCGAAACCGCGAGGUUAAGCCAAUCCCACAAAUCUGUUCUCAGUUCGGAUCGCAGUCUGCAACUCGACUGCGUGAAGCUGGAAUCGCUAGUAAUCGC